AUGAGCUAGAAGUUGGAACUC
rnacentral:miRNA from 1 species